UGAAACAAGGUCACGCUUAUACGACCGUACCGCAAACCGACACUGGUGCGCGAGAUGAGUAUUCUAAGGCGCUUGAGAGAACUCAGGGGAAGGAACUCGGCAAAUUGACACCGUAACUUCGGAAGAAGGUGUGCCCUAUUAGUGUGUAGUGAACAACGAAGCAUGAAUGGGUUGCAAAAAAUCGGUGGCUGCGACUGUUUAUUAAAAACACAGCACUCUGCAAACACGAAAGUGGACGUAUAGGGUAUGACGCCUGCCCGGUGCUGGAAGAUUAAAUGAUGGGGUGCAAGCUCUUGAUUGAAGUCCCAGUAAACGGCGGCCGUAACGAUAACGGUCCUAAGGUAGCGAAAUUCCUUGUCGGGUAAGUUCCGACCUGCACGAAUGGCGUAACGAUGGCCACACUGUCUCCUCCUGAGACUCAGCGAAGUUGAAAUGUUUGUGAUGAUGCAAUCUCCCCGCGGAAAGACGGAAAGACCCCAUGAACCUUUACUGUAGCUUUGUAUUGGACUUUGAACAGAUCUGUGUAGGAUAGGUGGGAGGCUUUGAAGCAGGGUCGCUAGAUCUUGUGGAGCCAACGUUGAAAUACCACCCUGGUGUGUUUGAGGUUCUAACCUAGGUCCAUUAUCUGGAUCGGGGACAGUGCAUGGUAGGCAGUUUGACUGGGGCGGUCUCCUCCCAAAGCGUAACGGAGGAGUUCGAAGGUACGCUAGUUACGGUCGGACAUCGUGACGAUAGUGCAAUGGCAUAAGCGUGCUUAACUGCGAGACUGACAAGUCGAGCAGAUGCGAAAGCAGGACAUAGUGAUCCGGUGGUUCUGUAUGGAAGGGCCAUCGCUCAACGGAUAAAAGGUACUCUGGGGAUAACAGGCUGAUACCGCCCAAGAGUUCAUAUCGACGGCGGUGUUUGGCACCUCGAUGUCGGCUCAUCUCAUCCUGGGGCUGUAGCCGGUCCCAAGGGUAUGGCUGUUCGCCAUUUAAAGAGGUACGUGAGCUGGGUUUAAAACGUCGUGAGACAGUUUGGUCCCUAUCUUCCGUGGGCGCUGCAGAUUUGAGGAAGCCUGCUCCUAGUACGAGAGGACCGGAGUGGACACACCUCUGGUGUAUCGGUUGUCACGCCAGUGGCAUUGCCGAGUAGCUAAGUGUGGAAGAGAUAACCGCUGAAAGCAUCUAAGCGGGAAACUCGUUUCAAGAUGAGAUCUGCCGGGGCCUUGAGCCCCCUAAAGAGUCGUUCAAGACCAGGACGUUGAUAGGUCAGGUGUGGAAGCGCAGUAAUGCGUUAAGCUAACCGAUACUAAUUGCUCGUGCGGCUUGACC
rnacentral:rRNA from 1 species